AGAGAGAGACAUGCGCGCAUAUCAAUAAGCGGAGGAAAAGAAACUAACUAGGAUUCCCUCAGUAACGGCGAGUGAAGCGGGAAGAGCUCAAAUUUGAAAUCUUCAAGGUUCUACCUUGACGAAUUGUAGUUUAAAGAAGUGUUUUCUGUUGGAGUUUUGGUAAAAGUUCUUUGGAAUAGGACAUCAUAGAGGGUGAGAAUCCCGUAUUUGACCAUUAUUUCCAGCUUUGUGAUACACUUUCAAAGAGUCGGACUGUUUGGGAAUGCAGUCCAAAAUGGGUGGUAAAUUUCAUCUAAAGCUAAAUAUUGGCGAGAGACCGAUAGCGAACAAGUACCGUGAGGGAAAGAUGAAAAGAACUUUGAAAAGAGAGUUAAACAGUACGUGAAAUUGUCAAAAGGGAAGCGUUUGACACCAGUGUUGUUUUCUCGAAAAUCAAUUAAAAAAGGCAGGAUUUUGUGUUGUAUUGACUUUAUCAGCUUUCUGCACUCUUUUCUUGUCUUUUUUAAUGCACUUUUCGUUUAACAAGUCAACAUCAAUUUCUUUUGUUGUAAAAGGGUCAUUGGAAGGUGGCUUUCUUUUCGGAGAAAGUGUUUAUAGCCUUUGGCCUCUGCAAUCGGAGAGAUUGAGGUCUGCAGCGUAGAUCCUUCGGGGUUAGAUACAUUUGUGCUAAGUUAUAGCCUUUCAUAGACAACUUGUUGACUAUGAUCAGUCAUGUAGCUUACUCGCUUAUGCUAUUUUACCUACGCUUAGGAUGUUGAUGUGAUACUGCGAGCA
rnacentral:rRNA from 1 species